AGGUACUAUUAUUUCCAAAUGUAGAAUUCAGUGCUUCAUCACUUAGAUACAACACGCAGUGCUCAUCACAAGUGCCCUCCUUAAUAUCCAUCCCCCACCUAGCCCAUC